rnacentral:rRNA from 1 species
GCCAGUCGAGCGGAGUGAUGGUGCUUGCACUAUCACUUAGCGGCGGACGGGUGAGUAAUGCUUAGGAAUCUGCCUAUUAGUGGGGGACAACAUUUCGAAAGGAAUGCUAAUACCGCAUACGUCCUACGGGAGAAAGCAGGGGAUCUUCGGACCUUGCGCUAAUAGAUGAGCCUAAGUCGGAUUAGCUAGUUGGUGGGGUAAAGGCCUACCAAGGCGACGAUCUGUAGCGGGUCUGAGAGGAUGAUCCGCCACACUGGGACUGAGACACGGCCCAGACUCCUACGGGAGGCAGCAGUGGGGAAUAUUGGACAAUGGGCGCAAGCCUGAUCCAGCCAUGCCGCGUGUGUGAAGAAGGCCUUAUGGUUGUAAAGCACUUUAAGCGAGGAGGAGGCUACUGAAGUUAAUACCUUCAGAUAGUGGACGUUACUCGCAGAAUAAGCACCGGCUAACUCUGUGCCAGCAGCCGCGGUAAUACAGAGGGUGCAAGCGUUAAUCGGAUUUACUGGGCGUAAAGCGCGCGUAGGCGGCUAAUUAAGUCAAAUGUGAAAUCCCCGAGCUUAACUUGGGAAUUGCAUUCGAUACUGGUUAGCUAGAGUGUGGGAGAGGAUGGUAGAAUUCCAGGUGUAGCGGUGAAAUGCGUAGAGAUCUGGAGGAAUACCGAUGGCGAAGGCAGCCAUCUGGCCUAACACUGACGCUAGGUGCGAAAGCAUGGGGAGCAAACAGGAUUAGAUACCCUGGUAGUCCAUGCCGUAAACGAUGUCUACUAGCCGUUGGGGCCUUUGAGGCUUUAGUGGCGCAGCUUACGCGAUAAGUAGACCGCCGGGGGAGUACGGUCGCAAGACUAAAACUCAAAUGAAUUGACGGGGGCCCGCACAAGCGGUGGAGCAGGUGGUUUAAUUCGAUGCAACGCGAAGAACCUUACCUGGCCUUGACUAGUAAGAACUUUCCGAGAUGGAUGGUGCCUUCGGGAACUUACAUACGGUGCUGCAGGGCUUUCGUCAGCUCGUGUCGUGAGAUGUUGGGUUAAGUCCCGCAACGAGCGCACCCUUUUCCUAUUUGCCGCGAGUAA